rnacentral:rRNA from 1 species
UACAGAGGGUGCGAGCGUUAAUCGGAAUUACUGGGCGUAAAGCGUGCGCAGACGGUCAUGUAAGUCGGGUGUGAAAGCCCCGGGCUCAACCUGGGAAUUGCAUUUGGGACUGCAAGGCUUGAGUGCGGCAGAGGAGACUGGAAUUCCUGGUGUAGCAGUGAAAUGCGUAGAUAUCAAGUGGAACACCAGUGGCGAAGGCGAAUCCCUGGAAAAUACCUGACACUGAGGCACGAAAGCUAGGGGAGCAAACAGG